AUUGAACGCUAGCGGGAUGCCUUACACAUGCAAGUCGAACGGAGUGGCGAACGGGUGAGUAAUGUAUCGGCACGUGCCCAGUAGCGGGGGAUAACUACUAGCAAGCGUAGCUAAUACCGCAUACUAUUGGAGCGGCCGAUAUCGGAUUAGCAAGUGGGGGGGGUAACGGCUCACCAAGGCGACGAUCCGGAGCUGGUUUGAGAGGACGACCAGCCAAACUGGAACUGAGACAGGGCCCAACCUCCUACGGGAGGCAGAAGUGGGGAAUUUUGGAAAAUGGGGGAAACCCUGAGCCAGCCAUCCGGCGUGUGGGAUGAAGGCCUUCGGGUUGAAAAGCACGUUUGGCAGGAAAGCGGUACCUGAAGAAUAAGCACCGGCUAACUACGUGCCAGCAGCCGCGGUAAUUC
rnacentral:rRNA from 1 species